UUCUUCUUAUUGUAAAUUUCUGUGUAUUAGGGGAAAAUAAGUGAAAUUCUUUUUCUGACUGUGUGAAGGUCUGUUAAAUCAAAUUUCUCUGCUCGUAUUUGUGAGGAACAGAGGUUUUUGUAUGAUGGAAGCUACAGAAAGGGGGAGUUUUAUCUCUAUGGUCCAACAAGGCUCUAGGUCUCCAGGAGGAUUUGCCCAUGAGUUGCUGUGCAGUCUAUGGGGCUUCUAUUGAGAAAAGCUGUUCACGUUGAUCAUGCUGCAUCAUUAGCAUCAAGGGACAGGUUCAUCUCCAAUGUUCUGUUCAGAGGAGUUUCCUUGGAUUGACACAAAAAUCCCUAAGGAGCUGGUGAAAACCUCUCUGAUCUGGUUUCUGUGGCAAGAUGAAAUGUAUACAUCUGACUUGGAGAAAGGAGUGAAAAGCAGGCUGAGAUUCUAGGCCUAGUGCCCACUGACUUGUUCCCUGAUGAUCCUGCCAGCUCGAGGCUGCUCAGCACAGUGUUUGGGAGGCAUGUGUGGAAGGCAGAAAGCUCAGAAAGCAGGAAUUCCUGGAGAGCAGCAAGAGGAGGGGGGCAUGACAGGAAGAAGGGGCCAGUAUUCGUUGAAGGGCCCAUCACGAAUAGUGCAAGAAUAACAGUUCUCUGUCACGGUUCCAGAUUCCCUUAUCUGGGAGCGUUAAGCGGCGGGGCCUGUCGACACCUCUGCCUCGCGCCCUGCUCUGCACUCAGCCGCCUGCAGAUACAGAGUGGCUUGAACAAGUUCCAGUGCUCGCUCUUGGAGCUUCCCAAGACCCCUGGUUGCAGCACAGCCCAGAGCCAUCGGGCAGCCAGGUGACAUCACUGCCAACAGCCAUGGAGGCGCUUCCUGUGUCACAUUCCCCACUGAAGAGCCUCUUGCCAAAUCCUUGUCGUUCUACACGGUCUUUUUAGGAACAGAUGGGCUAAUUUUAGCCCGACUGCCACAAACACCUUCCUGAAAUAGAGUCUGACUCCUCCUGUCUUGUGCAUGUUCCUGAGAGUUUAAAAACAAAAUCCCUUGUCUUUAGGGUCCACAGCUAAGGCCUCUGUCAGCCUAAAUUUGGCAGUAAGAAUUACUGAGCAGUGCACUGGGGAAACUGCUGUCAGUGUCAGGCCCAUACUGAGCUGUAUGGAAUGUUCCAGCAAGGCAGAAGCUCAGAUGCUGGCAUAUCACAAAGUCAUAUGGGUCUGGUCCAAUAUGAAGGAGUUGUUCUGUAUUUCAAGGACUUUGCAAUACAAAGAAAUUUUCUUGACUAGCUGCAGCCAGAUAUGACAUUUACAAGUGUAGUGAAUGGACUUAGUGUCCUCUGUGGUCUGCCUUGGACAAUUGCUCUAAUCAUCAUCCUUUCUUUCUGGGGCCUGACUACGUAAGCACUGCCCUGGGAGUUAAUAAUCCUGCUUCUGGUCCCAUAGCGAAGUCAGUUCACACCUGCCUGUGCUGUACUUGAUGUAUGUAGCACUGACCUGCUCUGAGAACAGCAAAUGAAAGACACUUAGAGAAGAAUUAGAAAUCACUGUCAGAUGAGGACAAGGAGCACAAACUCCACAAAAUCACCGGGUUUUUAUGCUCCUGCCUUUUGCUGUUUCCAUGAGCUUGAAUCUGCAGGCUCUUGUGUUGAAGGAUCAAUGCAGGCCUGAGCUGCUGUUUCUAAUUAGGAGAGUAAAAAGCCAUGUUGUUAAAUAGCUUCCUCUAGAUAGGAAAGGAAAAAAGGUUUUCAGGCAGCUGUUGUUUUUAUGUCACUCUUUGGAGUGACCCCCCCAUCCCCUAUGUUCCUUUAGACCUGCUAAUUAAGCAGUUCCUUGUAUCUGCAGGUCAGUUGAUCAG